rnacentral:rRNA from 1 species
AAGCUGGUGGCGUGCCUAAUACAUGCAAGGCGAGCGAAUGGAUUNANAACUUGCUCUUAUGAAGUUAGCGAGCGGACGGGUGAGUAACACGUGGGUAACCUGCCCAUAAGACUGGGAUAACUCCGGGAAACCGGGGCUAAUACCGGAUAACAUUUUGAACCGCAUGGUUCGAAAUUGAAAGGCGGCUUCGGCUGUCACUUAUGGAUGGACCCGCGUCGCAUUAGCUAGUUGGUGAGGUAACGGCUCACCAAGGCAACGAUGCGUAGCCGACCUGAGAGGGUGAUCGGCCACACUGGGACUGAGACACGGCCCAGACUCCUACGGGAGGCAGCAGUAGGGAAUCUUCCGCAAUGGACGAAAGUCUGACGGAGCAACGCCGCGUGAGUGAUGAAGGCUUUCGGGUCGUAAAACUCUGUUGUUAGGGAAGAACAAGUGCUAGUUGAAUAAGCUGGCACCUUGACGGUACCUAACCAGAAAGCCACGGCUAACUACGUGCCAGCAGCCGCGGUAAUACGUAGUGGCAAGCGUUAUCCGGAAUUAUUGGGCGUAAAGCGCGCGCAGGUGGUUUCUUAAGUCUGAUGUGAAGCCCACCGCUCACCCGUGAAGGUCAUUGGAA